ensembl:lincRNA
UUGAUGUCAAUUGCAUAUUCCUAAUUCAUACUUUCUUCUCUCCAUUUCAUAAAUAUUUGUUUUCCAGGUAUCACAGAAAGAAUUGAAAGGCAAGGUUGUCAGACAGAUAUGGCAGCUAAGACACCAACUGAGGAAUGUUAUCAAUGUAGCUCCGUGAAAUUGCCAUAUUUUACAUCCUGCAGUUCUGCAGUCAAGUGGUGGUAUUUUUGUCACAGCCCACAUCAAAGCCCAGAUGGCGUGAGGGAGGGAUGGAAAUGGGGCUCCAUAACCCCCAGGAACUCUGAAGAUUUCAUCUCCUAAGUGGUAUUGUCCAUCUGUUUCUGCAACUUCCUUAGCAACUUGACAAGAGCCAGAAUCCAGACGCUGGGAAAUGUGAAUGUUCCAACAUGGCUGACCAUCAUGGAAUGAGAUCAACAGAUGGAAAUAGGAGGCUUCAUCUUCUUCAUCUUUGUCCUGAGGCUCCAUCAGCCAGGUUUCCAGCACACAUUAAACCCAGGGGCUCUGUGAGGAGCAAAGGAAAGCACACCACAAGAGCCAGAGGGAGAGAGCUUGGCAGAACUCUGGAGGGAGCCUUUCCAAGACCUGCUUUUAGUGGAAGCUACAAAACCUCCUGGGAGGAGACUGAAUUCCAUGUUGGUGUUGCACUAUUGCUUUAAAGUGCCACCCUUUCCCUGGGACCAGCAGACAAUUGUACCCAUUAUUUUCUGGUUCUAAGGAAGGAUAAACUUCCUUCUAAGGCUUCAGGGAUGACAGAUGCCUUCUUGGGUAAGUGAGGAGACUGAA